AGAUUAAUUGGAUUUACUGUGGAUCGCGUUCAAAGUAAGUAAUGAACUGCCUUAUCUAGACUCUUCAUUUAUAUAAUAUUAUUUUUGCAUCGAGUAAAUUGUUAAUGAAUUUAUAUAUGAUUUAUGAAUUUUACGAGAUGAUGCUUUGAAUGAAAAAUAGAUAUGUGAAUUGGAAUAAUAUUUUUUUGGACUAUUGUUAUAUUACUGUUCUUGCAUCGUAUAUGCAUAUUUAGAUCGGAUUAUGAUAUAUCUAUUAUGUUACAAAAGAAUUUUGAUGUGCAUCAGAUUUAGAACUCUCAGCCUGGCUAUGUUCUGGACCCUGCCAAUAGGAGGUUAUGCAUUGGCAAUUCUGGCCCCACCACAGGGUAUAAGUGUGGUAUUCUAGCCCACUCCGCAGGGUAUAAGUAUGAUAUUCUGGCCCACUCCGCAGGGUAUAAGUGCGGUUCUGUUUCUGGCCUAGCCACAGGGUAUAAGUGUGGUCGUAGCUAAAGGCUGAUUAGAUGAAUGUGAUUUGUUUCGAAUCAGAUUUAUGAUUAUGUAUGUGUAUAUUUGAAAGAUACGGAUUUCAAUGAAUUUGUGCUUGAAAAGGAAUGAUUAUGUUAUUAUGUUGAUUCAUCGUAAUUUGUAUUUAUAUUUUAUGUUAUUAUAUGAAUUGACUAGUUAAGGUGUUUAUUACUUACUGGGCUGUCUAGCUCAUUAUACGAUUUCUUACUAGUUUUACAG
rnacentral:lncRNA from 1 species